rnacentral:lncRNA from 1 species
GUGACUCCAAGUGUGAAGGAUAAGGCUAAUGAGAUUGCGGAGAUUUGGAAGAGGAGUUUGGAUGAAAGAGGUGGGAUUGAGAAUGUGAAGACACCAGAUGUGCAUACUUUCUUGCAGCAUUUGGUGACUUUUGGAGUUGUGAAGGAUGAGGACUUCGAUUUGUAUAGGAAACUUGUUGUUGGGUCUGCUUGGAGGAAACAGAUGCCUAAACUUGCUAUCUCUCUUGGCCUUGGUGAUAAAAUGCCUGGUAACCUUUUGUGUUUAUGUUAGUCCAUGUUGUUUAUGUUGUUGCUUUGGCAUGAAAAAAUAGGAGUAGUUUGAACUCCAUGGUGAAAUGGGUCUAAAUUCAGCAAAGUGGCUUGGGAUUUAGUGGUAGUUUUUGUUGUCAUCGGUCUUCUUGUUCUGAGUACUUGUUAAUUAGGAAAUUUAGCUUAGUAGCUUUGAUUGAGUGACCAUGUGUUGCAAUAUUGUCAUUUUGCCCUUGUUUUUCCAUUUCUUGAGCUGGGAUUCCUUAUGGGAUGUUUUCUCAAAGCCAAAUUAGGCUAUUAACUGAGAUCUACUGUUGGUAUUAGGAAAUCUUACUUAAUAAGGGCUAUUAUCAGACCAGAGAAGUGGGUCUUUGCAAGGGGACUUCCAUAGUUUGAAUGGGGGAGCUGCUUCUGAGGUGUCUCCUAGCUAGUCUCGGGAAUGGUCUUUUGAUUUAUGCUAGUAUUUUUUUCAGUCUGCCAUUUUAUGUUAUGAUGUUCAGCUAAACUGUUGUAAUCUGAGGGCAUUCUUACUUGUGUAGUCGAGUAGAUUAGGAGUUGUAUGAGAUAGAUCUUAGCUUCACUACUGAUGAGAGUCCCAUGUGGUGUUUAGUUGUUUAGUCCUAGUUGGCUGUCUCCUUGUCGUGGAAAAUUUGCCCGGCGACAUCAAAUGCUUUGUUUGUGGUUGAGUUUGAAUUCUGUAUUUUCAAAAUAAACAUCUAAAGCAUGUUCAUCGAGGUCCAGCUUUUUCUCCUCCUAUCUUGAUUGGUUAUAACGACAUGCAUUCCCAUUGCUUCUUCUGUGGAAGUGCUAUGUCUAUAAAGCGAUGAAAAUGAAUGCCUAGACUAGUCACAUGCCUUAAAUUCUUUCUGUAGUUCUAUUUGUAAAGUAUGGUGUAUCAAAUAUUAUUCUUCAGUCCUCCAUUUUUGUAUUGAACUGUUGGAAGAAACACAAUGAGAACUUUCCGAAAGCAGGAUCUAAGGUAGUGUUUGAGGGCAAGUAAUUUGUGCUUAUGCACAUGAAACGUGCUAUUUUGGGAUCUCCAGAGCAUCCCUCUUUUUUCCGAUCUAGAUGCUUUUAUAUUUAUAUACCAUCUUAAUGGGGUUUGUUUGGCUGUAGGUAUGUGGUGAGGUAAUAGAUUUAAGGAUUGUCACUCACUUGCAAUUUCAUUUUUUAUCUGUUACUUAAGAAAUGAUUCUUGGUAUGUAAUUAUGCUGUUAUUUUUGUCUGCAGAGAUGAUUGAAGAACUGAUCAGCCGGGGACAGCAAGUUGAUGCUGUACAUUUCACUUAUGAAGUUGGACUUGCAGAUAAGUUCCCUCCUGUUCCUCUUCUGAAAGCUUUUCUAAAAGAUGCGA